GGUGGGUUACCAAAGUGGCCAACUGGGGCGGACUGUAAAUCCGCUGGCUCUGCCUUCCUACGUUCGAAUCGUAGACCCACCACCA
rnacentral:tRNA from 2 species